rnacentral:rRNA from 1 species
AGAGUUUGAUCCUGGCUCAGGAUGAACGCUAGCUACAGGCUUAACACAUGCAAGUCGAGGGGCAGCAUGGUCUUAGCUUGCUAAGGCCGAUGGCGACCGGCGCACGGGUGAGUAACGCGUAUCCAACCUGCCUUACACUCUUGGACAGCCUUCUGAAAGGGAGAUUAAUACAAGAUGUUAUCAUGAGUAAGCAUUUUCACAUGAUUAAAGGUUUACCGGUGUAAGAUGGGGAUGCGUUCCAUUAGAUAGUAGGCGGGGUAACGGCCCACCUAGUCUUCGAUGGAUAGGGGUUCUGAGAGGAAGGUCCCCCACAUUGGAACUGAGACACGGUCCAAACUCCUACGGGAGGCAGCAGUGAGGAAUAUUGGUCAAUGGACGAGAGUCUGAACCAGCCAAGUAGCGUGAAGGAUGAAGGUUCUAUGGAUUGUAAACUUCUUUUAUACGGGAAUAAACGAAUCCACGUGUGGAUUUUUGCAUGUACCGUAUGAAUAAGGAUCGGCUAACUCCGUGCCAGCAGCCGCGGUAAUACGGAGGAUCCGAGCGUUAUCCGGAUUUAUUGGGUUUAAAGGGAGCGUAGAUGGGUUGUUAAGUCAGUUGUGAAAGUUUGCGGCUCAACCGUAAAAUUGCAAUUGAUACUGGCAGUCUUGAGUACAGUUGAGGUAGGCGGAAUUCGUGGUGUAGCGGUGAAAUGCUUAGAUAUCACGAAGAACUCCGAUUGCGAAGGCAGCUUACUAACCUGUAACUGACAUUGAUGCUCGAAAGUGUGGGUAUCAAACAGGAUUAGAUACCCUGGUAGUCCACACGGUAAACGAUGAAUACUCGCUGUAGGCGAUAUACAGUCUGCGGCCAAGCGAAAGCAUUAAGUAUUCCACCUGGGGAGUACGCCGGCAACGGUGAAACUCAAAGGAAUUGACGGGGGCCCGCACAAGCGGAGGAACAUGUGGUUUAAUUCGAUGAUACGCGAGGAACCUUACCCGGGCUUAAAUUGCAACCGAAUAUGGCGGAAACGCUAUAGCUAGCAAUAGCGGUUGUGAAGGUGCUGCAUGGUUGUCGUCAGCUCGUGCCGUGAGGUGUCGGCUUAAGUGCCAUAACGAGCGCAACCCUUGCCGAUAGUUACUAACAGGUCAUGCUGAGGACUCUGUCGGGACUGCCAUCGUAAGAUGUGAGGAAGGUGGGGAUGACGUCAAAUCAGCACGGCCCUUACGUCCGGGGCUACACACGUGUUACAAUGGGGGGUACAGAGGGCUGCUACCACGCAAGUGGAUGCCAAUCCCAAAAACCUCUCUCAGUUCGGAUUGAAGUCUGCAACCCGACUUCAUGAAGCUGGAUUCGCUAGUAAUCGCGCAUCAGCCACGGCGCGGUGAAUACGUUCCCGGGCCUUGUACACACCGCCCGUCAAGCCAUGGGAGCCGGGGGUACCUGAAGUGCGUAACCGCAAGGAGCGCCCUAGGGUAAAACUGGUGACUGGGGCUAAGUCGUAACAAGGUAGCC